rnacentral:rRNA from 1 species
AGUAACACGUGGGUGACCUACCUUUGAGUGGGGGAUAACGCUUCGAAAGGGGCGCUAAUACCGCAUGACAUCCUGCCCUUGAAUGGGCGGCGAUCAAAGCCGGGGAUCGUAAGACCUGGCGCUCGGAGAGGGGCCCGCGGCCGAUUAGCUAGUUGGUGAGGUAAUGGCUCACCAAGGCAACGAUCGGUAGCCGGCCUGAGAGGGCGGACGGCCACACUGGGACUGAGACACGGCCCAG